CCUGCCGGACCUGACUGCUAUCGGAUUGAUACUAAGCCAUGCGAGUCUUUGUAGUAAUACAAGGCAGACGGCUCAGUAACACGUAGUCAACCUACCCUAUGGACAAGAAUAAUCUCGGGAAACUGGGCAUAAUUCUUGAUAGAUCAUAAUGCCUGGAAUGGUUUAUGGUUAAAAUGAUUCGUCGCCAUAGGAUGGGACUGCGGCCUAUCAGCUUGUUGGUGAGGUAAUGGCCCACCAAGGCGAUUACAGGUACGGGCUCUGAGAGGAGAAGCCCGGAGAUGGGUACUGAGACACGGACCCAGGCCCUAUGGGGCGCAGCAGGCGAGAAAACUUUGCAAUGUGCGAAAGCACGACAAGGUUAAUCCGAGUGAUUUCUGCUAAAGAAAUCUUUUGCCAGUCAUAAAACCACUGGUGAAUAAGGGGUGGGCAAGUUCUGGUGUCAGCCGCCGCGGUAAAACCAGCACCUCAAGUGGUCAGGAUGAUUAUUGGGCCUAAAGCAUCCGUAGCCGGCUUUGUUAGUUCUCGGUUAAAUCCACGUGCUCAACGCAUGGGCUGCCGAAAAUACUGCAUAGCUAGGGAGUGGGAGAGGUAGACGGUACUCAGUAGGUAGGGGUAAAAUCCUUUGAUCUAUUGAUGACCACCUGUGGCGAAGGCGGUCUACCAGAACACGUUCGACGGCGAGGGAUGAAAGCUGGGGGAGCAAACCGGAUUAGAUACCCGGGUAGUCCCAGCCGUAAACUAUGCAAACUCAGUGAUGCAUUGGCUUGUGGCCAAUGCAGUGUUGCAGGGAAGCCGUUAAGUUUGCCGCCUGGGAAGUACGUACGCAAGUAUGAAAC
rnacentral:rRNA from 1 species